AGUACACUGUCAGAAAUAGGGGUACAGUAGGGGUCCAUUUCUGUCCCCCAAGGUACAAUCUACAUAAAAGUACCCCAAAGGGCCCAUUAUUGGACCUCAAAGUACAUGUAUGUACCUUUUUGAGGGUCAAAAAGGUACAUAUUUGUUCCCAAGCAUUAAAAGGUACAUUUUUGUACCAUUUCUUUUAAAGGAUAAGGUACAAUGCUAAAAGAUACAGCCUCUUGCCAUUUUUUUAUUUGUUGUUCUAGACAACUGCUGUAAAUCUGGUCAAUAAAGUAAGUAACCAUUGUGUCAAUUUUGUUUCCUUCAGUUGGGCACAUGGGUCUUGAAGUAGUGUUAGUUUUCUUCUGUUCAUUGACAAUGUGUUUAAUUUAAAAUUUUAUUUGAAAUUUUAAUGAAAAAAAGUUAAUUUCAAUUCAUAAAAACUGUGCUGUGAACUCAAAAACUGCAAUUGAUUAACCAUUACUUACAAACUAAAUAAAUACUGAAUAACUAAAUCCCUCACACACAAUGAAAAAAAACGCGCUUUUAUUUUGACACGCGCCCAUCCCCCCACAUCUCACGGUCUGACUGGAGUCGAGUUUCACAGAGCAACGCAACAGGAGGAUGACACAACAGUUAUAAGAGCAUUAACAGUAAGGACUAAGGUUAACUGACUGUCUGUCUGUCUGUCUGUCGGUUCUCAACCAAAGUCAUUAAAGACCUGUUAAAGUAAGGACUAACGUUAACUGACUGUCUGUCUGUCUGCUCUCAACCAAACAGUCAUUCAAGACCUUUCAAAGUUUAGCACAAAAGUUUCCAGCACAAGUUUGGAUCUUUACCACUGAGGGUGGCUGACUGUUCUCGACCAACCAUCAUUCACACGCAAAAACUUUAAAGAUAAGUAUGAACGUGCCCAGAGCAGUUUUCGAUCUUUACCAUUAAGGAGGCGGACUGACUAUCCUCUACCACCCGUCAUUAACACAACAAAAACUAAAGAAAUGUUACUCCAUAUGGACCUAUUCAUUUACUCAUUAUGCUGUGAGUACACCACAGUUUUAUCAGUGAAAAAAUUUAUAUUUGUGUGUUUUCUCACUGCUUGGCAAGGACAGAUGUGGCCCUGUUAAAAAUGUUUAAAUGUUGUUUGGUUAAGGAACAGCACACUGAUUUUGUUUUAAAAUAUUCCUGUUUGGACAGUCUGUUAAAGUCAAAGGAAUACUUGAUAUAUUUCUAAGUAAAGUGUAAAUGAAAAAAUUAGUUUUUAAUGUUGUGACUGAACACAAUGUUGUGAAUGAUUUGGACUGAACAGCACACUUCUGUUUUAUAUCUGAACCUUUUGUAAAAUAAAUGAUUGUUCAUUAAACUCACUGUGUAUUUUAUCUUUUCUGUUAUCAUUUUUUUAUACUAAUGUUUAAAAUUUACCUUUACUCUAAACAAUUGGCUAAACCAACACAAAUACACUGAGUCAUAUGCACUUAUAAUUUAAAGUUUACAAUAUUUAGAUUGAGAUAUAUGUAUAAGUUUUAAAACCAUGAGUGUACCCUGUCAAAGCCAUUUUUGUACCCUUUUUGAAGGGUCCAUAUUUGUACUGUUAAAUAAAGGUACAAAAUUGUCACUAGAGGUACAAAACUGGUCCCUUAAGGUACAAAUCACAAGGGUACAAUUUUGUACCCUCUGCCAAGGGUACAAAAACUGUACCCUUGAGGGUACAGCCCCAGUGACAAGCCAUUGUACCCCUAAAGGUACAAUUAUGUACUUUCUUUUCUGAGA